ACGGCUCAGUAACUCAUAUUCAACAUGCCCAAGGGACGUGGAUAACCUCGGGAAACUGAGGAUGAACCGCGAUAGGUCAAGAUUUCUGGAAUGGAUCAUGGCCGAAAUCUAUAUGGCCCUUGGAUUGGACUGCGGCCGAUCACGCUGUUGGUGAGGUAAUGGCCCACCAAACCUAUAACCGGUACGGGCUUUGACAGAAGGAGCCCGGAUAUGGGCACUGACACAAGGGCCCACGCCCUAUGGGGCGCAGCAGGCGCGAAAACUCUGCAAUAGGCGAAAGCUUGACAGGGUUACUCUGAGUGAUGUUCGCUAAGGGCAUCUUUUGGCGCCUCUAAAAAUGGUGCACAAUAAGGGGUGGGCAAGUCUGGUGUCAGCCCCCGCGGAAAUACCAGCACCCCGAGUGGUCGGGACGAUUAUUGGGCCUAAAGCAUCCGUAGCUUGUCCUACAAAUCUUCCGUUAAAUCCACCUGCUCAACAGAUGGGCUGCGAAGGAUACUACACGGCUAGGAGGCGGGAGAGGCCAGCGGAACUCAUUGGGAAGGGGUAAAAUCCUCUGAUCCACUGAAAACCACCAGUGGCGAAAGCGGCUUGCCAGAACGCGCUCGACCGUAAUGGAUGAAAGCUGGGGGAGCAAACCGGAUUAGAUACACGGGUAGUCGCAUCUGUUAACGAUGCACACUCUGUGGAUGGGGUUGGCUUCGCGCCAACCCACU
rnacentral:rRNA from 1 species